rnacentral:pre_miRNA from 7 species
AUCCAAAUGUAGUGAAAGACCUCUGAAGGGAGACCCUCACUCAAGUCUUGGGAUAAUAGCAGACCCCCAAGAACUCACAAGAGACA